GGUCAGCCCCACAUGAUCUCACUCCCACCUACUUCCCAAUGUCACCUCUGACCACCCCCGGAAUUGUCCCACCUCAGAGCCAAGGGCGUGUGACUGCCACUUCCUUCCUGGUGCUGGGACCUCGGCUUCAAGUCACAGCCUCAAAGAGGGCUUGUUGAACCGUGUGGAUCACCCUGGAGCUGCCUUUUCCUACACUUCUCCCUCCGAACAGAGAGCACAGUUCUGCUGUAAAACAUCGUGUGAUGUUUGGUGGUUUCCGGUGGCGGUGCUAUUUGGACAAGCCCAGGUGUGGAUUCACUGCUUUCACGAUGCCAAGAGGGUUCUAUUCGCCUGGAGACUGGUCUGCAGUCAAAGAAGGACAUCUUCCUGGGACGAUCCGAAUGAUGGACCGCCGGAGCUGAUGCGUGGCUAGGUCUCUCAGCUGCUGGCCGGGCACACCUUUCCUACCAGUUCUCUCUGUCUCUCUCUUCCUCCCUCCCUAGACCUGUUUGUCUUCUUGUGAAAACCAAGCUCCAUGAGGCAGUUUCUCUUCUCAGAUCCUAGGAUAGCGACUGGCCCAUCGGUUCAACAACUAUUUGGUAAAUUCAAACAAAACAAAACCGGUCCUGGCUGGUGUGGCUCAGUGGAUUGAGAGGCGGCCUGAGAACCAAAGGGCCGCCGGUUCCAUUGCCCUGGCUGGGUUGUGAGCCAAGUCCCUAGCAGAGGGCAUCGAGAGGCAAUCACACACUGAUGUUUCUCUCCGUCUUUCUCCCUCCCUUCCCCCCUCUCUAAAAAUAAAU